GACAGAGGUGCCAAGCGUUAGGCGGAAUCACUGGGCUUAAAGCGUGUGUAGGCGGAUCGUUAAGUACCUUGUGAAAUCCCACGGCUCAACCGUGGAACUGCUGGGUAUACUGGCGAUCUUGAGCCACCUAGGGGCGAGCGGAACAAACGGUGGAGCGGUGAAAUGCGUAGAUAUCUGGAGGAACACCGGUGGCGAAGGCGGCAUCCUGGACCGACAUUGACGCUGAGGCGCGAAAGCCAGGGGAGCAAACGGG
rnacentral:rRNA from 1 species